rnacentral:tRNA from 1 species
GGCUGGGGCUCAGUGGUAGAGCACUUGCCUGGCAUGUGUGAGGCACUGGGUUCGAUUCUCAGCACCA